rnacentral:rRNA from 1 species
UACGUAGGGUGCAAGCGUUAAUCGGAAUUACUGGGCGUAAAGCGUGCGCAGGCGGUUAUGUAAGACAGGUGUGAAAUCCCCCGGGCUUAACCUGGGAACUGCAUUUGUGACUGCAUAGCUAGAGUACGGUAGAGGGGGAUGGAAUUCCGCGUGUAGCAGUGAAAUGCGUAGAUAUGCGGAGGAACACCGAUGGCGAAGGCAAUCCCCCUGGACCUGUACUGACGCUCAUGCACGAAAGGCGUGGGGAGCAAACAGG